UACGUAGGGGGCAAGCGUUGUCCGGAAUCAUUGGGCGUAAAGAGCGCGUAGGCGGUCCGAUAAGUCGGUUGUGAAAACUGGGGGCUCAACCCUCAGAGGCCGACCGAUACUGUCGGGCUAGAGUCCGGAAGAGGCGAGUGGAAUUCCUGGUGUAGCGGUGAAAUGCGCAGAUAUCAGGAGGAACACCUAUUGCGAAGGCAGCUCGCUGGGACGUAACUGACGCUGAGACGCGAAAGCGUGGGGAGCAAACAGG
rnacentral:rRNA from 1 species